rnacentral:rRNA from 1 species
UACAGGGGGGCAAGCGUUGUUCGGAAUUACUGGGCGUAAAGGGCUCGUAGGUGGCCAACUAAGUCGGACGUGAAAUCCCUGGGCUCAACCCAGGAACUGCGUCCGAUACUGGCAGGCUUGAAUCCGGGAGAGGGAUGUGGAAUUCCAGGUGUAGCGGUGAAAUGCGCAGAUAUCAGGAAGAACACCUAUGGCGAAAGGCAGCUCUCGUGGGACGGUACUGACGGCUGAGACGCGAAAGCGUGGGGAGCGAAACAGG